rnacentral:rRNA from 1 species
AGAGUUUGAUCCUGGCUCAGGAUGAACGCUGGCGGCAUGCCUAAUACAUGCAAGUCGAACGAAGUUUUUAGGAAAGCUUGCUUUCCAAAAAGACUUAGUGGCGAACGGGUGAGUAACACGUAGAUAACCUGCCCAUGUGCCCGGGAUAACUGCUGGAAACGGUAGCUAAAACCGGAUAGGUGGCUUCGAGGCAUCUCGGAGACAUUAAAAUGGCUAAGGCCAUGAACAUGGAUGGAUCUGCGGCGCAUUAGCUAGUUGGUGAGGUAACGGCCCACCAAGGCGACGAUGCGUAGCCGACCUGAGAGGGUGAACGGCCACAUUGGGACUGAGACACGGCCCAAACUCCUACGGGAGGCAGCAGUAGGGAAUUUUCGUCAAUGGGGGGAACCCUGAACGAGCAAUGCCGCGUGAGUGAAGAAGGUUUUCGGAUCGUAAAGCUCUGUUGUAAGAGAAAAACGGAUCAUGUAGGGAAUGACAUGAUAGUGAUGGUAUCUUACCAGAAAGCCACGGCUAACUACGUGCCAGCAGCCGCGGUAAUACGUAGGUGGCAAGCGUUAUCCGGAAUGAUUGGGCGUAAAGGGUGCGUAGGUGGUACAUUAAGUCUGAAGUAAAAGGCAGCAGCUCAACUGCUGUUCGCUUUGGAAACUGGUGAACUAGAGUGCAGGAGAGGGCGAUGGAAUUCCAUGUGUAGCGGUAAAAUGCGUAGAUAUAUGGAGGAACACCAGUGGCGAAGGCGGUCGCCUGGCCUGUAACUGACACUGAGGCACGAAAGCGUGGGGAGCAAAUAGGAUUAGAUACCCUAGUAGUCCACGCCGUAAACGAUGAGAACUAAGUGUUGGAGAGAUUCAGUGCUGCAGUUAACGCAAUAAGUUCUCCGCCUGGGGAGUAUGCACGCAAGUGUGAAACUCAAAGGAAUUGACGGGGGCCCGCACAAGCGGUGGAGUAUGUGGCUUAAUUCGAAGCAACGCGAAGAACCUUACCAGGCCUUGACAUGGAUAUAAAU